rnacentral:rRNA from 1 species
GCGGUGGAGCACGUGGUUUAAUUCGAUGCAACGCGAAGAACCUUACCUGGUCUUGACAUCCCGGAGACCCUUAGGAAACUAGGGGUGCUUCCAUCUGGAAGAAUCUGGAGACAGGUGCUGCAUGGCUGUCGUCAGCUCGUGUCGUGAGAUGUUGGGUUAAGUCCCGCAACGAGCGCAACCCUUGCCUUUAGUUGCCAGCAGUUCGGCUGGGCACUCUAAAGGGACUGCCGGUGUUAAACCGGAGGAAGGUGGGGAUGACGUCAAGUCCUCAUGGCCUUUAUGACCAGGGCUACACACGUACUACAAUGGCCGAUACAAAGGGCAGCGACACUGCGAGGUGAAGCCAAUCCCGUAAAAUCGGUCUCAGUCCGGAUUGGAGUCUGCAACUCGACUCCAUGAAGUUGGAAUCGCUAGUAAUCGUGGAUCAGCAUGCCACGGUGAAUACGUUCCCGGGCCUU